rnacentral:rRNA from 1 species
UACGUAGGGGGCAAGCGUUGUCCGGAUUUAUUGGGCGUAAAGAGCUCGUAGGUGGUUCAGUAAGUCGGAUGUGAAAUCUCCAGGCUCAACCUGGAGGGGUCAUUCGAUACUGCCGUGACUAGAGUUCGGUAGGGGAGUGUGGAAUUCCUGGUGGAGCGGUGAAAUGCGCAGAUAUCAGGAGGAACACCCGUAGCGAAGGCGGCACUCUGGGCCGAUACUGACACUGAGGAGCGAAAGCGUGGGGAGCGAACAGG